rnacentral:rRNA from 1 species
UACGUAGGGGGCAAGCGUUGUCCGGAUUUAUUGGGCGUAAAGAGCGUGUAGGCGGCCAUGGUAGGUCCGUUGUGAAAACUCGAGGCUCAACCUCGAGACGCCGAUGGAAACCAUGUGGCUAGAGUCCGGAAGAGGAGAGUGGAAUUCCGUGGUGUAGCGGUGAAAUGCGCAGAUAUCAGGAAGAACACCCGUGGCUAAGGCGGCUCUCUAGUAAGCGGUACUGACGCUGAGACGCGAAACGUGGGUAGCAAACAGG